UGGGGAAUAUUGGACAAUGGGCGAAAGCCUGAUCCAGCAAUGCCGCGUGAGUGAUGAAGGCCUUAGGGUUGUAAAGCUCUUUUACCCGGGAUGAUAAUGACAGUACCGGGAGAAUAAGCUCCGGCUAACUCCGUGCCAGCAGCCGCGGUAAUACGGAGGGAGCUAGCGUUGUUCGGAAUUACUGGGCGUAAAGCGCACGUAGGCGGCUUUGUAAGUUAGAGGUGAAAGCCCGGGGCUCAACUCCGGAAUUGCCUUUAAGACUGCAUCGCUAGAAUUGUGGAGAGGUAAGUGGAAUUCCGAGUGUAGAGGUGAAAUUCGUAGAUAUUCGGAAGAACACCAGUGGCGAAGGCGACUUACUGGACACAUAUUGACGCUGAGGUGCGAAAGCGUGGGGAGCAAACA
rnacentral:rRNA from 1 species